CAUGCUUCCAAGAAAAGCCCUAUACCCGUUAAGGCAUCAUGGCCUGUACCCGAAACCGACACAGGUGGGGUGGUAGAGAAUACCGAGGGGCGCGAGAUAACUCUCUCUAAGGAACUCGGCAAAAUGGCCCCGUAACUUCGGGAGAAGGGGUGCCACCGCAAGGUGGUCGCAGUGAAUAGGCCCAGGCGACUGUUUACCAAAAACACAGGUCUCCGCUAAGUCGCAAGACGAUGUAUGGGGGCUGACGCCUGCCCAGUGCCGGAAGGUUAAGGAAGCUGGUCAGCGUAAGCGAAGCUAGCGACUGAAGCCCCGGUGAACGGCGGCCGUAACGAUAACGGUCCUAAGGUAGCGAAAUUCCUUGUCGGGUAAGUUCCGACCCGCACGAAAGGCGUAACGAUCUGGGCGCUGUCUCGGAGAGAGGCUCGGCGAAAUAGAAUUGUCUGUGAAGAUGCGGACUACGUGCACCCGGACAGAAAGACCCUAUGAAGCUUUACUGUAGCUUGGUAUUGUGCUCGGGCUCGGAAUGCGCAGGAUAGGUGGGAGGCUUUGAUCCAUUGCUUGUGGGUGAUGGUGAGCCAAUGGUGAGAUACCACUCUUUCCGAGCUAGAGUUCUAACCUUCACCCGUUAUCCGGGGAGGGGACAGUAUCAGGUGGGCAGUUUGACUGGGGCGGUCGCCUCCUAAAAGGUAACGGAGGCGCGCAAAGGUCUGCUCAGGCUGGUUGGAAAUCAGCCGACGAGUGUAAAAGCAGAAGCAGGCUUGACUGUGAGACCAACAAGUCGAACAGGGAGGAAACUCGGCUUUAGUGAUCCGACGGUUCUGCGUGGAAGGGCCGUCGCUCAACGGAUAAAAGUUACUCUAAGGAUAACAGGCUGAUCUCCCCCAAGAGUUCACAUCGACGGGGAGGUUUGGCACCUCGAUGUCGGCUCAUCGCAACCUGGGGCUGAAGUCGGUCCCAAGGGUUGGGCUGUUCGCCCAUUAAAGCGGUACGCGAGCUGGGUUCAGAACGUCGUGAGACAGUUCGGUCCAUAUCCGGUGCAUGCGCAGGAAUAUUGAGAGGAUUUCUCCCUAGUACGAGAGGACCGGGAGGAACGCACCUCUGGUGUACCAGUUAUCGUGCCAACGGUAAACGCUGGGUAGCCAUGUGCGGAGUGGAUAACCGCUGAAAGCAUCUAAGUGGGAAGCCCACCUCAAGAUGAGUAUUCCCAUGGGGUAACCCAGUAAGGUCACGGGAAGAACACCCGUUGAUAGGCUCUACGUGGAAGCGCAGCAAUGUGUGAAGCGGAGGAGUACUAAUAGACCGAGGGCUUGACC
rnacentral:rRNA from 1 species